rnacentral:rRNA from 1 species
AUUGAACGCUGGCGGCAUGGCUAAAACAUGCAAGUCGAACGAGAACGGGGCUUCGGCCCUUAUUAAAGUGGCGAAAGGGUGAGUAAUGCGUUUCUAACGUACCCCGAGGUCCGGGGAUAGCCCAGGGAAACUUGGGGUAAUACCCGAUGAUCUCACUUGGUCGUAUGGCCGGGUGAGCAAAGGCUUGCUGCCUUGGGAUCGGGAAACGUCCUAUCAGUUUGUUGGUGAGGUAAAGGCUCACCAAGGCGAAGACGGGUAGCGGGUGUGAGAGCACGACCCGCCACAUCGGGACUGAGACACUGCCCGGACUCCUACGGGAGGCUGCAGUAACGAAUAUUCCGCAAUGCGCGAAAGCGUGACGGAGCAAUGCCGCGUGCAGGAUGAAGCCCCUCGGGGUGUAAACUGCUGUCAGGGGUCAGGAAUUCUGACCAACCCCAAAGGAAGAGCCGGCUAACUCUGUG